ensembl:lncRNA
GUUCGAUAUUUCUGACACAUAGCACCAGUGAGAGACAGGCAGGGAGACUGGAAGAGAGACAGGUAGUAGACCAGUCUCUCUCCCGGACGGUGGAGAAACAGUAGUAGACCCGUAGAGUGACAUGCAAAGACAGGCAGGUAGAGAGACAGGUAGAGAGAGAGGCUUGUAGAGAGACAGACAGGUAGGGACAAAGGUAUAGAGACAGGCGGAUACAGAGAAAGGCAGGAAGACGGCUAGAGAGAAAGGAACGUAGAGAGACAGACAGGUAGAGAAUAAGACACGGAGAUGGGUAGAGAGACAGACAGAGAGACAGACAGGAAGAGAAACAGACUGGGACACAGGUAGAGAAACAGACUGGGAGAUGGGUAGAGGAGAGAGAGACAGACAGGGACACAGGUAGAGAGACAGACAGGGACACAGGUAGAGAGACAGACAGGUAAAGUGGGGUGUUUACCUUUAAUUACUGCAGAAGCAUCUGUUGGACUAACGGUUUUUCCGACUCCUGCAAUCGUUGUAAUGUACUUAAAUACAAUAUAUAUAUUAUAUCUACAUAAUAUAUAUAAUAAUACAUGAAUAAUAUGUAGAAAAUGUGGAGGCUCUAUAUGAAGGCUCUAUAUGAAGGCUCUAUAUGAAGGCUCUGUAUGAAGGCUCUGUAUGAAGGCUCUCUAUGAAGGCUCUAUAUUGAGGCUCUGUAUGAAGGCUCUGUAUGAAGGCUCUGUAUGAAGGCUCUGUAUGGAGGCUCUGUAUGAAGGCUCUAUAUGAAGGCUCUGUAUGAAGGCUCUGUAUGGAGGCUCUGUAUGAAGGCUCUGUAUGAAGGCUCUAUAUGAAGGCUCUGUAUGAAGGCUCUAUAUUAAGGCUCUAUAUUAAGGCUCUGUAUGAAGGCUCUGUAUGGAGGCUCUGUAUGAAGGCUCUGUAUGAAGGCUCUGUAUGAAGGCUCUGUAUGAAGGCUCUAUAUGAAGGCUCUAUAUGAAGGCUCUAUAUGAAGGCUCUGUAUGAAGGCUCUAUAUGGAGGCUCUGUAUGAAGGCUCUAUAUGGAGGCUCUGUAUGAAGGCUCUAUAUGAAGGCUCUGUAUGGAGGCUCUAUAUGAAGGAUAUAUAUGAAGGAUAUAUAUGGAGGCUCUGUAUGAAGGCUCUGUAUGAAGGCUCUGUAUGAAGGGUCUUGAGAGAGAGGACUGUGUGUGUGUGUGUGUGUGUGUGUGUGUGUGUGUGUGUGUGUGUGUGUGUGUGUGCGUGUGUGUGUGUGUGUGUGUGUGUG